AGUCGAGCGACAGAUGAGAAGCUUGCUUCUCUGAUGUUAGCGGCGGACGGGUGAGUAACACGUGGGUAACCUACCUAUAAGACUGGGAUAACUCCGGGAAACCGGGGCUAAUACCGGAUAAUAUUUUGAACCGCAUGGUUCAAUAGUGAAAGACGGUUUCGGCUGUCACUUAUAGAUGGACCCGCGCCGUAUUAGCUAGUUGGUAAGGUAACGGCUUACCAAGGCGACGAUACGUAGCCGACCUGAGAGGGUGAUCGGCCACACUGGAACUGAGACACGGUCCAGACUCCUACGGGAGGCAGCAGUAGGGAAUCUUCCGCAAUGGGCGAAAGCCUGACGGAGCAACGCCGCGUGAGUGAUGAAGGUCUUCGGAUCGUAAAACUCUGUUGUUAGGGAAGAACAAAUUUGUUAGUAACUGAACAAGUCUUGACGGUACCUAACCAGAAAGCCACGGCUAACUACGUGCCAGCAGCCGCGGUAAUACGUAGGUGGCAAGCGUUAUCCGGAAUUAUUGGGCGUAAAGCGCGCGUAGGCGGUUUCUUAAGUCUGAUGUGAAAACCCACGG
rnacentral:rRNA from 1 species